AGUGAACGCUGGCGGUAGGCCUAACACAUGCAAGUCGAACGGCAGCACAGUAAGAGCUUGCUCUUACGGGUGGCGAGUGGCGGACGGGUGAGGAAUACAUCGGAAUCUACUUUUUCGUGGGGGAUAACGUAGGGAAACUUACGCUAAUACCGCAUACGACCUACGGGUGAAAGCAGGGGAUCUUCGGACCUUGCGCGAUUGAAUGAGCCGAUGUCGGAUUAGCUAGUUGGCGGGGUAAAGGCCCACCAAGGCGACGAUCCGUAGCUGGUCUGAGAGGAUGAUCAGCCACACUGGAACUGAGACACGGUCCAGACUCCUACGGGAGGCAGCAGUGGGGAAUAUUGGACAAUGGGCGCAAGCCUGAUCCAGCCAUACCGCGGGGGGGAAGAAGGCCGUCGGGUUGUAAAGCCCUUUUGUUGGGAAAGAAAAGCAGCAGGUUAAUACCCCGCUGUUCUGACGGUACCCAAAGAAUAAGCACCGGCUAACUUCGUGC
rnacentral:rRNA from 1 species